GAGUAACACGUGAGUAACCUGCCCCUGACUCUGGGAUAAGCCCGGGAAACUGGGUCUAAUACCGGAUACGACCGCCCCAGGCAUCUGGUGGUGGUGGAAAGUUUUUUCGGUUGGGGAUGGACUCGCGGCCUAUCAGCUUGUUGGUGGGGUAAUGGCCUACCAAGGCGACGACGGGUAGCCGGCCUGAGAGGGCGACCGGCCACACUGGGACUGAGACACGGCCCAGACUCCUACGGGAGGCAGCAGUGGGGAAUAUUGCGCAAUGGGCGAAAGCCUGACGCAGCGACGCCGCGUGGGGGAUGACGGCCUUCGGGUUGUAAACCUCUUUCAGCAGGGACGAAGUUGACGUGUACCUGCAGAAGAAGCGCCGGCUAACUACGUGCCAGCAGCCGCGGUAAUACGUAGGGCGCAAGCGUUGUCCGGAAUUAUUGGGCGUAAAGAGCUCGUAGGUGGCUGGUCGCGUCUGCCGUGAAAGCCCGCAGCUUAACUGCGGGUCUGCGGUGGAUACGGGCCGGCUAGAGGUAGGUAGGGGCAAGUGGAAUUCCUGGUGUAGCGGUGAAAUGCGCAGAUAUCAGGAGGAACACCGGUGGCGAAGGCGGCUUGCUGGGCCUUACCUGACGCUGAGGAGCGAAAGCGUGGGGAGCGAACAGGAUUAGAUACCCUGGUAGUCCACGCUGUAAACGUUGGGCGCUAGGUGUGGGGAUCUUCCACGAUCUCCGUGCCGGAGCUAACGCAUUAAGCGCCCCGCCUGGGGAGUACGGCCGCAAGGCUAAAACUCAAAGGAAUUGACGGGGGCCCGCACAAGCGGCGGAGCAUGUUGCUUAAUUGACGCAACGCGAAGAA
rnacentral:rRNA from 1 species